rnacentral:rRNA from 1 species
GUACACGCUGUGACUAGCAUAUCAAUAAGCGGAGGAAAAGAGGGCUAUUACCUACGCUUAGGAUGUUGACAGCAGUAAGACUGUCGAUCUCAUCUAUACAUGACUCUGCGCAUAUCAAUAAGCGGAGGAAAAGAAACUAACAAGGAUUCCCCUAGUAACGGCGAGUGAAGCGGGAAGAGCUCAAAUUUGAAAUCUUAAAGGGUUUCCCUUUACGAAUUGUAGUUUAAAGAAGUGUUUUCUGUUGAGGUUUUGGUAAAAGUUCUUUGGAAUAGGACAUCAUAGAGGGUGAGAAUCCCGUAUUUGACCUUUACUUUCAACUUUGUGAUACACUUUCAAAGAGUCGGAUUGUUUGGGAAUGCAGUCCAAAAUGGGUGGUAAAUUUCAUCUAAAGCUAAAUAUUGGCGAGAGACCGAUAGCGAACAAGUACCGUGAGGGAAAGAUGAAAAGAACUUUGAAAAGAGAGUUAAACAGUACGUGAAAUUGUCAAAAGGGAAGCGUUUGACACCAGUGUUGUUUUUCUGAAAAUCAAUUAAAGAACUGUUUAUGCUAAGCUGUUUAGACUUUAUCAGCUAUCUGUUUAGUUUUGAGCUUUUCUUUAAUGCACUUUUCAGUUAACAAGUCAACAUCAAUUUCUUUUGCUGCUAAAAAAGCUUGAGGAAGGUGGCUUGAGAUUCGUCUUAAGUGUUUAUAGCCUCUUGCCUAUGCAGUCGGAGAGAUUGAGGUCUGCAGCGUAGAUCCUUCGGGGCUAAAUGCAUUUGUGCUAAGUUAUAGCAUUUCAUAGACAACUUGUUGACUAUGAUUUGUCUUGUAGCUUACUCGCUUAUGUUAUUUUACCUACGCUUAGGAUGUUGACAGCAGUAUAGACUGU